rnacentral:rRNA from 1 species
UACGGGGGGUGCGAGCGUUGUCCGGAAUCACUGGGCGUAAAGGGCGCGUAGGUGGUCUGAUAAGGGUGUGGUGAAAGUCCGGGGCUCAACCCCGGGAUCUGCCGUGCCGACUGUCAGACUCGAGGACUGUAGAGGCAGGCGGAAUUCCGGGUGUAGCGGUGGAAUGCGUAGAGAUCCGGAGGAAGACCGGUGGCCGAAGGCGGCCUGCUGGGCAGUU